rnacentral:SRP_RNA from 1 species
UGCAGCCGGGGAGAUAGCGGUGCCCUGUACCUGCAAUCCGCUCCAGCAGGGGUGAUAUCCCGCCUCGGGCGUAUUUUUGCAGAGCUGCCUUUUGUAAGUGGCGUUGAAGUCUGGGUCUUGCGCAACAGGAAUCCAUGAACCGUGUCAGGGCAGGAAUGCAGCAGCACUAAGUGGAAGCUCUUGUGUGCCGUAAGGUCGCCUGGACCGAGUUAACUGCAGAAGUAACGUCUGUGAAUUAUGUUCAAAGCGGGAUGCACG